UGGUGGAGCGAUUUGUCUGGUCAAUUCCGAUAACGAACGAGACUCUAGCCUACUAAAUAGUUCGGGGGACCCCCACAAAGGGGCCCCGCUUCAACUUCUUAGGGAGA
rnacentral:rRNA from 1 species